UCAUUUUUCUUGAGGUCUGAGAAUGGCACAAUGUGGGAGAAAACAGCCGGCGGCAUCAUCAUUUUUUGUUUCGUUUUAAGCCCUACGAUGGCCCCCAAGCAUCCUGCACCUCCGAAGGCUUCUGGUAGAAAGCUUAAACGCCACAGGAGGAUGCUGACCAUUCAAGAGAAGAUCAAACUCCUGGAUAUGCUUCGGGAAGGACGGAGUUACGCCACCGUCGCUCGACAUUACGGCUUAAAUGAAUCGACUGUACGCUGCAUCAAGAAAGACGAAAAGAAAAUAAGAUACACCGCAUCGGUAUCUUUCAACCGUUCAGCCAAAAGAGCGGUAACCUGUCAAAACGCAGCCAUCGUUCGGAUGGAAUCCGCGUUGGCUCUUUGGAUCACUGACUGCAGAAAGAAAAAUGUUCCUUUGGACAUGGACAUAAGAGAGAAGGCUCGACAGCUUUUUGCCAUGAUUGCGGAAGAUGCUGACAACCCUUGCGAUUAUGGAAAACCUCAAGCAACCGAAUCUGCCGCCAACCCCACUGAAUUUUAUGCCAGCAAGGGUUGGUUGCACAGAUUUAAAAAACGCUUCAAUCUCAAAAAACUUCCCAUGUGCGGUGAAGCUGCAUCUGUGUCUCUGGAAGACGACGAGUACAACAAGGAGACAUUCAAGUCAAUCAUUGAGGGGGGAGGUUACAAGCCCGAACAAGUCUUCAACAUGGAUGAAACUGCCUUGUAUUGGAAGAGUAUUUCUUCUCGUACCUCCAUCAUGGACGAGGGAGCGAGAGCCUCUGGAUUCCAAGCUCCCAAAGACAGAUUGAGUUUGAUCAUGUGCGUCAAUGCUGCUGGCUACAUGAUAAAGCCGGCGCUAAUUUGCAAGUCCAAGAACCCCAGGUCACUGAAGACCAAAAACAAAAACCUACUGCCUGUUUAUUGGAUGCACAACCCCAGAGGUUGGAUUUCAAAAGUCCUCACAUGUGACUGGUUCCACCACUGCUUCAUUCCAGCGGUCGAGUUGUACCUCGCCCAAGCUGGGUUCGAGUUCAAGGUGCUGUUACUGAUGGACAACACAGGAGGCCACACGCUGAAUCUAUCCCACAAAGGCGUUCGGAUCGAGUUCCUCCCGCGAAACGCGGCGGCGUCGUUUCACCCGAUGGCUCAGGGCGUCCUGCGUGCCUUCAAGGCUCUGUACGCACGUAACAUCCUCCGCCACCUCGUCGAGGCAAUGAGUUCUGACGAAACCUUCACUCCGGAGACGUGCUGGCGUGAUUACACGAUGGCAACUUGUCUCCAAAAUAUCCAAAAUGCCGUGAAGGAGAUGAGGAAGGAAACCUUAAAUGCCUGUUGGGGAAAGCUGUGGCCCGAUUGUGUCCAGAAUUAUGUCGGUUUCUCCCCAGACCAAAUUUGUCUGUCGGCAGUUAACGAGGCAGUCGAACUGGCCAAGUUGCUCAGAGGGGAAUGCUUCAACGAAGUGACACGUGAUGACAUCAAUGACCUCAUUGACACACACGCAAAUCCACUAACUAACGAAGAUUUGAUUGAAAUAACGAAAGCCAAAGGUGAGGAGGAGGAGGAAGAAGAGGAGGCAGAGGCAGGAGCGGAUCCAUCAGAGGAAGACGACAGUGACCUCUCACUUGAACGACUGACAAAAAUGGUGAGAGCUGCUGAACAGCUGCAGGGAAUGGCGGAAGAUUAUGAUCCCCAAAUGGCCCGGGUGUUGCAGUUUCAAAACGCCAUCGAGGGCCCUAUUGAGGUCUAUAAAGACCUCCUGGCACAGAAGAAACAAUGUCAGCACCGACCUGUAAGGGUCCUGAAGAAGGAAAAAGAGCACACCUGUGCCGCCAUAAAGAAUUCAAAUCCUGCAGCGGGGUACCCCUCCUGAAGAGGCGCCUUCAGAAGAGCUAUCGUACAUUCUACAAGGAUCUCCCUCCAGUUGGGACUCUGCAGAGGAAAGUGAUUCCAGUUCCACACCUGUUGACAAUUUGAACAAAGAUCUUAUGUGGAGUAGCAAGGAUGAGGAAGAUUGUAGCUGGCAUGAAGCUGGCUGGCAACCAAAUGAGUUUUUCUUCACUGCAACACCCGGGCCCCGGAGUGCUGCCGCGGAGCUGGAUUCAAACCAGCCAGCUGACUUCCUGGAGCUCUUUAUCACAGAUGAGCUUCUCCAACACAUUGCCGAUCAGACAAACCUGUAUGCUACUCAGUGUUUUCUGUCCCAGUCUGAAGGUCUGCCAUAUAGCAGAAGUCAUGCCUGGAAACCCGUGUCUGUCGCAGAACUGAAAACCUUCUUUGGACUCACUUUUCUCACCAGUUAUGUCAAAAAACCAAGCGUUUCACUCUACUGGAGUAUGGACGAGAUUGACGCAACACCCCAUUUCGGCCAGACCAUGCCAAGGAACAGAUUCCAGACUAUUUGGAAGUUCCUUCAUUACAACAACGAUGUCUCACAGGACGACAGUGACAAAAUGUACAAAGUCCGCCCAGUGCUGGACUACAUUGUGGAAAAGUUCAAGGAGCUGUACCAACCAGGGCAAAAUAUUUGCAUUGACGAGGGUAUGAUGCAGUGGAAGGGGCGCGUGUCCUUCAGAGUGUACAACCCCAAAAAACCUGUGAAAUAUGGAAUCAAAUCAUACAUACUUUGCGACUCUGCCAGUGGGUAUUGUUUCAAUAUGCAGCCUGAUGUCAAGGAAGCUCGUACUACAUCGGAGAUUGUGUUCUCUCUCCUUGAUCGCCUCCCAGGUCACGGUUAUACACUGUAUAUGGACGAUUCCUACAAUUCCGUAGCAAUGUGUGAGCUUUUACUGGGAGCGGAAACCAAUGUCUGUGGAAUACUGAGGAAGAAUAGGGGGGAACCUCAGAUCUUUAGGACGGUGAGAAAGAAUGAAUUGGGGGUGGAGGAGAAGCUUGUGCGGCAUAAUAAGAGGGUAAUGGUAGUAGCGUGGCAGGGCAAACGGUUGGUGUCAACUUGCCACCAAGACAGGAUGCAGAAGGUUGAAGUGUCGUGGAAGGGACACAAAGACAAGGGUCCUAGAUUGAAGCCAGAGUGUGUUGUUGCAUACAACUCCUCUAUGAACGGAGUGGAUAAGUUGGACCAAAGCAUUACAUACUACCCCUUCGUCCGAAGGUCACUGAACUGGUCCAAGAAGUUUGUCGCCUACCUGUUUCAACUAUGUAUGUUUAAUGCUCAUGUCAUAUACAAUGCCAAGCACCCAGAGGAGUGUAGAACCCUCUUGGAGUUCAUGCGCAGCGUAGUCAAGUCCUGGACUGUGAAGCGAAAUGUGUUGGCGCAGGUGAAAAAGGAGGAGGAGGAACGUGCGGUCGCCAAGGUUGACAGUUGUGGGGACUGGGAGGACCGCCGGGGUUCAAAAAGGGCCCCGCAUAGAAUUGACCCGGACAGCAGGCUUGACGGACAGCUUGGCAAACACAAACUCGAAUAUCUGAAACCAGCUGCCAAGAGCGUAAACCCAGCAAGGACACCAGGAAGGAGGUGUAGAGUGUGUGCGCGCAGAGGCCUGCGCAGAGAUACCAGAAUGUGGUGCGUCUCUUGUUGUGUUCCCCUCCAUCCAGGAGAAUGUUUUACAGCUUAUCACACCAAGCAGAACUAUUCUGGAUCAGUGUGAAAACACAGCUUCACUAUAGAUGUGACAGUACAUGCGUUACGAUAGACAACUCAAGUUUAUAUAUUUUUGUCAAAUAUCAAAAAGUUGACAUUCAUGUUUGUAAAUAAAUCUUGCCAUCAAAUGCUC